AUAGCGUAUAUUAAAGUUGUUGCAGUUAAAAAGCUCGUAGUUGAACUUCAGGCCUGGCUGGGUGGUCUGCUUAACGGCAUGUACUGUCUGGCUGGGUCUUACUUCUUGGUGAGCCGGUGUGCCCUUUAUUGGUGUGCAUUGGGGAACCAGGACUUUUACCUUGAGAAAAUUAGAGUGUUCAAAGCAGGCUUAUGCCCGAAUACAUUAGCAUGGAAUAAUAAAAUAGGACGUGUGGUUCUAUUUUGUUGGUUUCUAGAGUCGCCGUAAUGAUUAAUAGGGAUAGUUGGGGGCAUUGGUAUUGAGUCGCUAGAGGUGAAAUUCUUGGAUUGACUCAAGACCAACUAUUG
rnacentral:rRNA from 1 species